rnacentral:rRNA from 1 species
GGGAUAACUCCGGGAAACCGGGGCUAAUACCGAAUAAUCUCUUUUGCUUCAUGGUGAAAGACUGAAAGACGGUUUCGGCUGUCGCUAUAGGAUGGGCCCGCGGCGCAUUAGCUAGUUGGUGAGGUAACGGCUCACCAAGGCGACGAUGCGUAGCCGACCUGAGAGGGUGAUCGGCCACACUGGGACUGAGACACGGCCCAGACUCCUACGGGAGGCAGCAGUAGGGAAUCUUCCACAAUGGGCGAAAGCCUGAUGGAGCAACGCCGCGUGAGUGAAGAAGGUUUUCGGAUCGUAAAACUCUGUUGUAAGGGAAGAACAAGUACAGUAGUAACUGGCUGUACCUUGACGGUACCUUAUUAGAAAGCCACGGCUAACUACGUGCCAGCAGCCGCGGUAAUACGUAGGUGGCAAGCGUUGUCCGGAAUUAUUGGGCGUAAAGCGCGCGCAGGCGGUCCUUUAAGUCUGAUGUGAAAGCCCACGGCUCAACCGUGGAGGGUCAUUGGAAACUGGGGGGACUUGAGUGCA